rnacentral:lncRNA from 1 species
ACUCGUGAACGCGAGCGCAGGCGCGCCGGAGGAAACGGAGGCUGCGCUUGCAAACCUCGCAAGAAGCUCGCCCUUGUCGUCUCCCAGCGGGCUUCUUAGCUCCCAGCUUGUUUGAUGGGGGUGCCUCUUUUUCUUUCCAGGUAUAGCUGUCCAGCGACACCAUCAUGCAUUCAUUUCUCCAACAAACAUUUUCAUGGGCUCUUGCUCUAUACUGGGGAUGUAGUGGUAAAUGAAAUGGACGAGGCCCUGCCCUCGUGGAACUUACAGUCUGGCAAAGGAAACAGACAAUAAAAUUCUCAGUUGUCUAAGGAGGCAGAGAUGCAUGGGGAGAGGAUCAGAGUAGGGAUGCGGAAGCAGCGAGUGGUCAGGAGUGUGCGUGCCAAAAGGCAGGAGACCUGUGGGACGUGGGGGCAGCUGGGGCCGGAACUUGCGCUGGAGGAACACCCCUUGCCUGCUGGGGCGAGAAGAGGACCCUUUCCUUGGGUGAAAUUCCCCAUAUUGUUAAAAGGACAAUUAAAGAAAUGAAAGAGAGGUCACCUGGGUGAAUAGGCAACUUAGAUGGGCCUCCCUGUGUUCCUGUCAUGCCUCCAAUUCUGCGUCCAGGUGUCCGGAACACAUUUUUUUCUGCCUUUGAAACCUUCCAGUACCUCUGGCAGAGAUAUACCAUACCCUCCUUGUUACCUGCGUGCGGAAUCUUAACUCAUCGUUGUGCUACAUCUGCACCUUCUGCCUUUGUGCCUUGUUUUGUGUUUUCCCUCCUCCGGGGAGAAUAUAAUAAACUUAGCUGAGUCCGUUCUACAUACAAGGAAAUAAUUUAUUUUCUGCUAUGUGUUUGGGGAUGGGGAUAAAAAAAUGAACAAGAAACUAGCUCCUAUCAUUAAGGCACAGAUAGCCCUUUGAAACAUUACUUAACGGGCUAUGGAUAAGCUUCAGGAUAUUGCUGAUCCCCUAAAAUUAUACGCUAACUUAAAUUUUUUUUUUUUUGAGACAGAGUCUUGCACUCUUGCCCAGGCUGGAGUGCAAUGGCAUGAUCUCGGCUCACUGCAACCUCUGCCUCCCCGGUUCAAGCGAUUCUCCUGCCUCAGCCUCCCAAAUAGCUGGGAUUAAAGGUGCCUGCCACCAUGCCCUUUUAAUGUUUUGUAUUUUUAGUAGAGACGGGGUUUCACUAUGUUGGUCAGGCUGGUCUCGAACUCCUGACAUCAUGAUCCUCCUGCCUCGACCUCCCA